AUUAUCCCUUUUUACAGAAGAGAAAACAGGAGGCUUCGGUAACCUGAGCAAGAUCUCACAGCUAGUAAGUGGUAGAGCCAGGAUUCUAGCCAUAUAGUGUGUCUACAGAGCUAGGGCGGUGGUUCUCACUGUUUUGUGGUUUGAGCACUUGCUUGGGAUCCUCUCCAUCCCAUGUGUACAAAAAAUAAAAAUAAAAAAAUUAGCUGGGCAUGGUGGCAUGUACCUGUGGUCCCAGGUAUUCAGGAGGCUGAGGUGAAAGGAACUAUUGUAAUUAUUUUGGGGUACUAUGAACUGUGCCCAUAUAAAACAGUGAGCUUAAUCGAUAAAUGUUGUAUGUGUUCUGUCUGAUCCACUGACAGGCCAUUCUGCCCUCCCCUCCUCAAACCUCCCUAUUCCCUGAGGCACAACACUAUUUAAAUUGGGCCAAUUAAUAACCCUACAAUGGCCCGUAAGUGUUGAAGUGAAAGGAAGAGUCACGUGUCUCUCUUUUAAAUAAAAAGCUAGAAAUAGGACUAAGCUUAGUGAGGAAGGCAUGUCCAAAACUGAGAUAGGCUAAAAGCUAGGCCUCUUGCACCAUAAAAAAAAAAAAAAAAAAAAAAAAAUCAAAAUAUUACUGUUCAUCAACAAUGACCCGGUCACCUAUAGCUCUAUGGAUCAGAGCAAAGUCAAUUGAAAACCUUCUGGAAAGGAUUCACCAUUUUAGAUGCUGUUAAAAACAUUUGUGAUUCAUGGGAGGAGGUCAAAAUAUCAACAUUAACAGAAGUUU
rnacentral:lncRNA from 10 species